GCGGCAACAGCUCAAAUUUGAAAGCUGGCUCCUUCGGAGUCCGCGUUGUAAUUUGUAGAGGAUGAUUCGGCGAGGGCUCCCGCCUAAGUCCCCUGGAACGGGGCGUCAUAGAGGGUGAGAAUCCCGUAUGCGGUGGGUUGCCUUAGCCAUGUGAAUCUCCUUCGACGAGUCGAGUUGUUUGGGAAUGCAGCUCUAAAUGGGAGGUAAAUUUCUUCUAAAGCUAAAUACCGGCCAGAGACCGAUAGCGCACAAGUAGAGUGAUCGAAAGAUGAAAAGCACUUUGGAAAGAGAGUUAAAAAGUACGUGAAAUUGUUGAAAGGGAAGCGCUUGCAGCCAGACUUGUCCGCAGUUGCUCAACCGGUCUCCUGACCGGUGUACUCUUCUGCGGCCAGGCCAGCAUCAGUUCGGGCGGUCGGAUAAAGGCCCUGGGAAUGUAGCUCCUCUCGGGGAGUGUUAUAGCCCAGGGUGGAAUGCGGCCAGCCUGGACUGAGGAUCUCGCUUCGGCUAGGAUGCUGGCGUAAUGGCUGUAAGCGGCCCGUCUUGAAACACGGACCAAGGAGUCUAACAUCUAUGCGAGUGUUUGGGUGUCAAACCCAUGCGCGUAAUGAAAGUGAACGGAGGUGGGAACCCUCACGGGUGCACCAUCGACCGAUCCUGAUGUCUUCGGAUGGAUUUGAGUAAGAGCAUAGCUGUUGGGACCCGAAAGAUGGUGAACUAUGCCUGAAUAGGGUGAAGCCAGAGGAAACUCUGGUGGAGGCUCGCAGCGGUUCUGACGUGCAAAUCGAUCGUCAAAUUUGGGUAUAGGGGCGAAAGACUAAUCGA
rnacentral:rRNA from 1 species